GAUGAACGCUGGCGGCGUGCCUAAUACAUGCAAGUCGAGCGAACGGACGAGAAGCUUGCUUUUCUGAUGUUAGCGGCGGACGGGUGAGUAACACGUGGAUAACCUACCUAUAAGACUGGGAUAACUUCGGGAAACCGGAGCUAAUACCGGAUAAUAUUUUGAACCGCAUGGUUCAAAAGUGAAAGACGGUCUUGCUGUCACUUAUAGAUGGAUCCGCGCUGCAUUAGCUAGUUGGUAAGGUAACGGCUUACCAAGGCAACGAUGCAUAGCCGACCUGAGAGGGUGAUCGGCCACACUGGAACUGAGACACGGUCCAGACUCCUACGGGAGGCAGCAGUAGGGAAUCUUCCGCAAUGGGCGAAAGCCUGACGGAGCAACGCUGCGUGAGUGAUGAAGGUCUUCGGAUCGUAAAACUCUGUUAUUAGGGAAGAACAUAUGUGUAAGUAACUGUGCACAUCUUGACAGUACCUAAUCAGAAAGCCACGGCUAACUACGUG
rnacentral:rRNA from 1 species